AUUGAACGCUGGCGGCAGGCCUAACACAUGCAAGUCGAGCGAGCGGCGGACGGGUGAGUAAUGUAUGGGGGCUGCCCGAUAGAGGUGGAUUACUACUGGAAACGGUAGCUAAUACCGCAUACUAUCGGAUAACCCAUGUGGGAUUAGCUAGUAGGUGCGGUAAUGGCUCACCUAGGCUACGAUCCCUAGCUGGUCUGAGAGGAUGAUCAGCCACACUGGAACUGAGACACGGUCCAGACUCCUACGGAGGCAGCAGUUGGGAAUAUUGCACAAUGGGCGAAAGCCUGAUGCAGCCAUGCCGCGUGUGUGAAGAAGGCCUUCGGAUUGUAAAGCUCUUUCAGUAGGGAAGCGUUACCGAACCAGAAAGCACCGGCUAACUCCGUGCCAGCAGCCGCGGUAAUAC
rnacentral:rRNA from 1 species